rnacentral:lncRNA from 1 species
GCCUUUGGAGUAGCUGGGGUUACAGGUGGAUCCACUAGAUGCUGUGAUUCAUGGUAGAUCUUCAGACGUUUGGUGGGCACCCACACAGGUACCUGAUUGUCACCUGGAGAGACAAAAGCAAAUCCUCUUCCCCAUAAAAUUAUCUUUCCUUUUCCCCAGCUCUUUGUAUGUUCAUCCCUCCACCAUAUAUCUUGUCCAGCCUUUUUCUUAUCCUUUUGUCCCAUCAGGUGUUGUUCAGCUG